CAAAUGGAGACAAAUCACAUAAUUAAGAUCAACACAAAACUAGAUGAGUAAAGUUUGUGAACAAACUUUGAAGUUGGCUUGAGAAAGCCUGAAAGUUUGAAACAACUGUAAAAGCUUGAAGUUUGAACGUUUAGAUUAGAUAGAUGUUGCUAGCACAUUUCUAGCAUGAUUUAGCAAACUGCAAACAUGACAACUUAAAUAGUAAAUAGUAGAUCAGUAAGUCGGCCUCUCAAGCCAACUUAAUGACAUAUUAGAAAAGAAAGACUGCAACAUUUAAAAAGUAAAAAACUCAUGUAUGGUUCAGUGGAUUUAAAGUAUGAAUAAUCCUCAGACCAUUUUAUAUUUCCAGAUGUUCUAAACACUUAUUUUUUCUAAAUCUGGAUCUUCCUGUAAUAAAAGUCUUCCUGUAAUAAAAAAAUGUGAGACAUAAACCCAUGUCUUGCUUACAGAUGCUGGAGCAGUGGGCCAAAAGAAUCUCCAGUUAAAUGGAAGUAUUCUGGGAGUAUGUGUUUCAUUAAAAGUCUGUGAAAUGUCCUUUUGAAAUUGGGAUAGCCAAUAGUCUUGUUAGCCUAUGUAAAUACGAACUUCCCAGGAGGACUUGAACGCAUCAUAUGUCUCUCCCCCUAAUAUCACCUGCUUCUGACUAGCAGUAACGAGCAAUAGUCAAGUAAUAGUAAACGAGGUAAACUAAAGCCUUACACCAUCUUACCUGGGCAUGCUUCUGACUCUGAAUGAACUCUGGAGAGAAGGAAAUGUCAUCAAGAAUCACGUAUCCUCCAUGUGGACUGUUGAACGCCUCCUCGAACACCAACUUUCUUUACCUCUACAGGAUAUGGAGCUUUCAGGUCCACUUGUACAGGUAUCCAGACUCUGGUUUCUGGACUCCAGUUCACGUUGUUGUUCUCCGGGAGAUUGGCUCUCCAUAGCUCCUGAUACUGUCCCGCCUGAUCCCUGCUGAAGAGGGAGAACAGAUGGU